rnacentral:lncRNA from 13 species
GAAUCUAAACCCAGCUAAGGCCAGGUGCAAUGGCUCACAUCUGUAAUCCCAGCACUGUGGGAGGCUGACGCCAGUAGAUCACUUGAGGUCAGGAGUUCGAGACCAACCUGGCCAACAUGGGAAGACCCCAUCUCUACUAAAAAUACAAAAAUUAGCCAGGCGUGGUGGCAGGUGCCUGUAGUUCCAGACACUCAGGAGGCUUAGGCAGGAGAAUCGCUUGAAUCUGGGAGGCGGAGGUUGCAGUGGGCUGAGAUUGGGCCACUGCACUUGACCCUGGGUGACAAAAGCAAAACUCUUAUCUCAAAACAAAAUCAAAAGCAAAAACAAACAAAACAAAACCAACCCGCCCCCCCCAAAAAAACAAAAAAAACCCAAAACAAAAAACCAGCCAGGCGCAGUGGCUCACACCGGUAAUCCCAGCACUUUGGGAGGCCGAGGAGGGCGGAUCACAAGGUUAGGAGUUCGAGACCAGCCUGACCAACAUGGUGAAACCCCACCUCUUCUAAAAAUACAAAAAUUAGCUGGGCAUGGUGGCAAGUACCUAUAAUCCCAGCUACUUGGGAGGCUGAGGCAGGAGAAUGGCUGAACCCGGGAGGCAGAGGUUACACUGAGCUGAGAUUGCGCCACUGCACUUCAGCCUGGACAACAGAGUGAGACCUUGUCUCAAAAAAAAAAAAAAAAAAAGAACCCAAAAAACUAAAAAACAAAUAAACCCAGCUAAACUGUCACUCAAGGGUGAUAGUGAAACAAUGACAUUUCAGAUAGCAACUAACAGAGGGUUGCCACGAGUGACGUGCAGUAGAAUACUUUGUAAAGGCCGUAUUCAGGGCAAAUGAACACCUGCCGAAAUCUCACCCAAGCUCAGCAGGGAGCCCAGUCCUCUGCUUUUUUUUUUUUUCUUCUGAGGUCAUGGAAAGUGUUCAAAUAGAACUGGCUGGACGGGACUUGAACAUGGGGCUUGGUCUGAUGGACUCUGGGCUGGACAGGGGGUUGCAGGCUUAGUCACAGGAUUCUUGCUGAAGCGAGGGUUUUUCUGAAGCUUCACAAGCUUAGGAAACCAAAGGGGAAUCUGCUUGUUUGUUUUCUCCCUGAGUGGAAGGGAGAAGCUUUUACAAGAAAUAACUUUUCAGCAAAUCCAGUGUAUUUUUUUAACCUCUCAUUUUUUUUUUUUCUCCCUGCAAUUGUGACAUGUCUACAUGAAAUUGGCCACAGGAAGGAAGCCCUGUUGGAGAAGCUAUUUUCUGAACAUCCCUUUAUACCCCGAUUUCACAACAUGCAGACAUUUAGGUGGAGAGACUGGACUUCAUGCCCUCAUGGCAGCUGUAAUUUGGAAGUCAAAUGCAGCAGGGCACACUUAGAGCUGAUCCGUGAUUCCCGCACAGAGAGCCAAGAUAGAGUUUUGCUCUUGUUGUCCAGGCUGGAGUGCAAUAGCACAAUCUCGGCUCACUACAACCUCCGCCUCCUGGGUUCAAGUGAUUCUCCUGCCUUAGCCUCCUGAAUAGCUGGGAUUACAGAUGUGUGCCACCAUGCCUGGCUGAGUUUUGUAUGCUUUGUUGAGACAGGGGUUUGCAUGUUGGCCAGGCUGGUCUUGAACUCCUUGACCUCAGGUGAGCCACCUGUAUCAGCCUCGCGAAAUACUGGGAUUAUAGGCAUGAGCUGCCGUGCCUGGCCAAGACCUCAUUUAUUGCUGGGAGGAGCAGCAAAGCCACAUGACCAAGGGGUGAGAAUACAGGGAAGCAUGAACCACGUCGGGGGAGGGCGUCACUGUUGCGGCAAUCUACCUUGAGACACGGCCAGUUCCUAGCAGUCAGGGCUUGACCCCAGGACUCCAGAUUUUGUUCCUUUCUCUGACAGGACACUGCUCUAACAUCCCACGGGACUUCCUAGAAGCUCCUGGAUUUUCUAGGAGUAUCCCUACGUUACUGACAGGCUUGCUCGAGCACCAACGAGAGACCAUGUGUGUCCCUGCUAUGCUCAUGACUGCGAACCAGUGUCCCUUCCUGGUAUCCUGAUUUUUAGGAGAUGAUGAUCUCACACUGAAGUGACCAUCCUGUCAUCCCCUAACCACCCCAUUCCUCCAAUGUGUCCCAGGUUGGGAGGAUUCCAAUCUAUCUCACUCCAGAGUGGGCAGACGACCCAUUGGAGUCAGAGAAUAACAUAUUUGAACUUCCACUUGUAUUUCUGCUUGUCUAAGAAGAAAAUGAAGUUUGAAGAUGUUUAGAAGCAGGGAGACGCCAGCACCCUCCCUUGGUUCUUGCGAGGUUGUCAGAUGUCAAGUGUCAUGUGCAGGACAAAGAAGACCCUGAGGGCAAAGGGGAAACUCCACCAUGGUUGCAUGUUGAGACUUGUGUGGGCUGCACAUCGAGACACAUGCAGGUUGCAGGUCUGCUUUACCGGACUUUGGAGUGUAUUAUCCUAACGCAAUACUUUCAGUAAUUUGCAGGGAAAUAGAGCAUAACUGCGGAGAUACUUUGCAUGGCGCAGACAUUCACUGGCAG